AUUGAACGCUGGCGGCACGCCUAACACAUGCAAGUCGAGCGGCAGCGCGAUAUGUAGCAAUACAUAUUGGCGGCGAGCGGCGGACGGGUGAGGAACACGUAGGAACCUACCCUCGAGUGGGGGAUAACCAAGGGAAACUUUGGCUAAUACCGCAUGAACUCGAGAGAGCAAAGCUGCCGCAAGGUGGCGCUCGAGGAGGGGCCGGCGUCCGAUUAGCUAGUUGGGGAGGUAAGAGCGCACCAAGGCGAUGAUCGGUAACUGGUCUGAGAGGACGACCAGUCACACUGGGACUGAGACACGGCCCAGACUCCUACGGGAGGCAGCAGUGGGGAAUAUUGGACAAUGGGGGCAACCCUGAUCCAGCGAUGCCGCGUGAGUGAAGAAGGCCUUCGGGUCGUAAAGCUCUUUAGGUUGGGAAGAAGGGUGAUGGAGGAAAUGCUAUCACUUUGACGGUACCGACAGAAUAAGCACCGGCAAACUCUGUGCCAGCCGCCGCCGUAAAAC
rnacentral:rRNA from 1 species